rnacentral:rRNA from 1 species
UUUGUCGCGUCUGCUGUGAAAUCCCGAGGCUCAACCUCGGGCUUGCAGUGGGUACGGGCAGACUAGAGUGCGGUAGGGGAGAUUGGAAUUCCUGGUGUAGCGGUGGAAUGCGCAGAUAUCAGGAGGAACACCGAUGGCGAAGGCAGAUCUCUGGGCCGUAACUGACGCUGAGGAGCGAAAGCAUGGGGAGCGAACAGGAUUAGAUACCCUGGUAGUCCAUGCCGUAAACGUUGGGCGCUAGAUGUAGGGACCUUUCCACGGUUUCUGUGUCGUAGCUAACGCAUUAAGCGCCCCGCCUGGGGAGUACGGCCGCAAGGCUAAAACUCAAAGGAAUUGACGGGGGCCCGCACAAGCGGCGGAGCAUGCGGAUUAAUUCGAUGCAACGCGAAGAACCUUACCAAGGCUUGACAUACACCGGAAACGGCCAGAGAUGGUCGCCCCCUUGUGGUCGGUGUACAGGUGGUGCAUGGUUGUCGUCAGCUCGUGUCGUGAGAUGUUGGGUUAAGUCCCGCAACGAGCGCAACCCUCGUUCUAUGUUGCCAGCGCGUUAUGGCGGGGACUCAUAGGAGACUGCCGGGGUCAACUCGGAGGAAGGUGGGGAUGACGUCAAAUCAUCAUGCCCCUUAUGUCUUGGGCUUCACGCAUGCUACAAUGGCCGGUACAAAGGGCUGCGAUACCGUAAGGUGGAGCGAAUCCCAAAAAGCCGGUCUCAGUUCGGAUUGAGGUCUGCAACUCGACCUCAUGAAGUCGGAGUCGCUAGUAAUCGCAGAUCAGCAACGCUGCGGUGAAUACGUUCCCGGGCCUUGUACACACC